CUGGCAGUAAACGGUGCACGUUUGGUGUGGGCGGGCUCAGACCCCGUCCGUGCCGGAGCUAACGCGUUAAACGUGCCGCCUGGGAAGUACGGUCGCAAGAUUAAAACUCAAAGAAAUUGACGGGGGCCCGCACAAGCGGUGGAGUAUGUGGCUUAAUUCGAUGCAACGCGAAGAACCUUACCUGGUCUUGACAUGCAUCUCUAAGUUAAUGAAAGUUAGCGACUUGGUAGCAAUAUCAAGAAUUUGCACAGGUGC
rnacentral:rRNA from 1 species